AGAAAAAAAGCGGGCCAUACCCCAUUCUUUGCCUGUGGGAAUGUGGCAUACCACAGGAGCUCAGAUGGCAUUCCAUGAUGGCAAUAACAUAUCCUAACAACUUCAGCAGGUCAAAAGUGCUCCAUCCACAGAGUUUUUCGGCAGACUUGGGACAAGAAAUUCCACUUUAUGUAACAGGUGUUUUAGGUUGUGCAUGAACAGCAAAUGCAUCCGGUGCAGGUUUGUUAACCUGCAGGGGCUGCCACGGUCUUCCUUCAGGAUGCUCUACAGUCACUUCAAAAAACAAGGGUGUCAGUUUCUAGCAAAAUAAUCCAGGAAGAAGUCCAGGUCUUACUGUUAAGAUAUGCAAUGAGGUUGUGACCAUUAUGCUCAAUGCUGUGCUGAAAGAUGUGAGGCCGGGAGACAUACUGAUGACCUGCUUUACUGAUGUUGUUGCCAACACCUACAAACCAUUCACUACAACUACCACAACAAACAUUAUACUGAUAAUGCAGAAAAUCUGAGCUACCUUUGUGAAAGAGGCCAAGAGAUGAUUGGAUGGUGGAGUUUCAGAUGACACAAUGCUGACUGUUUCCACCAAGCUGAUUUUGCUUCCUACUGACAGCAGAAGGAAGUCUUCACUUUUAUUUUAAACAAUUCGGUUCUAACGCCACCAUUUUGUAAAGAUUACAUGUAACUGAACAGAUUGAAAUGACACCAUCUUCCUUCAUUAACACAACCUAACUGUGUACCUGGACCAUCAGCUUGAACAGUAUACUACUUCUACUACCAUUUCCUCAUUUUCAAACAUUACUAGAAAGGUCUGAAAGGCAAUCAUGCUGUCUUCAGUCAUUGUUGAAGAAUGAUAAACUCCUGUGUUAUGUAUUCUGCUGCAACUUGAUCUCACCAGUAUGUACAAACAGUGCCAAAUUUAUUACAUUUUUACUGGUGUAUUAUCAGCGCUAUAAAUAUUGUACUUGAUGUCAACAAUGAUUUCAUUAAGAUGAAUUUCCACUCUGUAAUGAUGUUUACUUACUUUUCUUCUGUUGCCAUACCAGUGUUGAUUGAAUAACAGAUAAUCUAUUUGAUUUUGUUUUUAUUUAUUUCAACCACUGUUGUUUGUUCUCAUUUUCAUAUCACUUGGUUAGUACUCUUCAUUAUAUUGCAGGCAGCCAAUGUCUUAUUUCCUACAACUACUCAGCAAUAAACCUGUUGACAUUUCUGCUUUCAAUUGUCUAUAUAUUUUUCAUUAGAUUUCUUUCAAUGUUUUAAGUCUGAUCACUGUUAAAAAAACUGGCUCUUCUCCAUGCCUGCCUAGGAAUGUCUUCCACAUUGAUAAUUAAUAUAAAAUGAUAAUAACUUUAUGCUCUAUUGUUUUGUCUACUUUCAGAAAACAUAUUUCAAACAUUCCUCAACUGUUAUGAUUUUUUUUUGACAAACCUUUUUUGCAGUUUACAGCCUAAAACAAUAUAUAAUAAUAAACAUAUGGGAUUUUCCCCCAACCAAAUGCACUGCUUUACCUAUAAAUAAAUGAUAGUUAAUUAAAUUACAUUACAUCUACAAACUAAAAAUAAUCACUUUUCAAAUCCUAUGGAACUUGCUGUACAAAUCCUAGUAAAUAUACUUAUAAAUUAGUUCAACAUACAUGUUAGUGCUUGUAUGCAUUGCUUUGUAUGAGACAUAGAUUUUUGACAUAAUUGUAACCAUUUUCACUUGUUGCAUGUUUUCUCUGCUACAAUGUUAUAGUGUUGUCAUGUGUAUCACUUUGAUUCAUUGUUUUCACAUUAUUACUUUACUCAUGAUUCAGUGAUUAUCUCAUUUCAUGUAAAUUUCUUCUUGUUCAAUUGUAAAUAAUGACAAAUGCUGCUCAAAAGAGUGUGAUAAUGGAUAUACUCUUAUUGUCAUUUAUGUUAUUUGAUAAUUGUAAUCUUCAUCAUCUUCCAUGAAUUGCAUUACUUUCACUUUGCCUCAGAUUUAAUAGUAUGUGUGAUGGUUUUAUAUUGUUGCUAUUAGAACAGGGGUUAUAUUAAUAAUCCCAAUAUCCUGUACAUUAUCAUUUUGCCAAAGUAGUUCCUCAUAGAUACAUGUAACACUACAGACUGGUUUAUUUUAUUAGUAAACUUUUUUUAGUUCCAGUUUUGUGCUUUUCUAAUCUGGACAAUUGCUAUUAUCUACUCCGUUGUACUCAUUUGUGUUUUGGCAAAAAAUAACACAUUACUUAAAUGGCACAACUUAACUGUCAUUCAGGCAUGCUUGAAAUUCAUUUCAAAAGCAUAGACACCAGAUGAUACCAUUGCAAGAUGGAAAAAAACUUAAAUUGAAUUUAUAUCUUGUGUACAUUUUUACUGAGUUUUUGGACCGAGUUAAUCCCAGUUAUUUAAAACAAAUAGCUUCUGAGUGUGUUCCUGUAAACAUCACAGGAUCCUCACAUGCUAUUAUUAAGUGUAUACACACAGCUGAGACAGGGAUAGAAAUAUUUAUUUUUUUAAUUUAUAAGUUUGCUUUUUUGACCUCAUACUAGCCCAAAUUGAUAAAUUAUUUGGACGAAACAUUGAAUUGGCUGAUGUUGAUGAACUUUUGGUUCAUCCCCAAUUGAUCUUAUAAACCCUGAUAUAAUAUUGAUAAUUAUAAACCCUGAUAUAAUAUUGAUAAUUAUCGCGAGAUAAAGAGGCGCUUCAUUUGAAGUGUUAAUUGGGCUCAAUUUCAGACCUAUUCUGAUUAUGAAAUAAGAUACUGGACUAUAACUUUUAAUCAUAGACCAGUUAUAAAAACGCACAAAAGAGAACAUUCCGUUUUCAUAUACAAAUGUACCUUGUUCUUUUUUCUUUCCUGUAAUUGAACUUCUGGUGUUAAGGCCUAUUAGUCUAUGACAGGUGUGGUUGUCUGUUGAUGCAUAAUUUAAACCAGCUAUGAUAACAACAUCAUAUGAAUACACCACUGUCAGCAUUUUUUGCUGCUACACCUAAUGAACCUCCAAUAGCUUUAAUCUUAUAUUAGCUGACAUUUAUAAGUCAUAUUCAACAUUUAAUUGUUUAAAUGUUUUUAAUUACAUUUUUCCUUUGAAAUUCAUUAAAACAUUUACAACCUCACAAUAAAAUUUA